rnacentral:rRNA from 1 species
GUGUCAGCCGCCGCGGUAAGACGAACCGUGCGAACGUUGUUCGGAAUCACUGGGCUUAAAGGGCGCGUAGGCGGAUCAGCAAGUCCGGGGUGAAAUCCUCCGGCUUAACCGGAGAAGUGCCUUGGAUACUGCUGGUCUCGAGGGAGGUAGGGGUCAUGGGAACUUCUGGUGGAGCGGUGAAAUGCGUUGAUAUCAGAAGGAACGCCGGUGGCGAAAGCGCAUGACUGGAUCUCUUCUGACGCUGAGGCGCGAAAGCUAGGGGAGCGAACGGGAUUAGAUACCCCCGUAGUCC